rnacentral:lncRNA from 1 species
CAGUAGGUCCUGGAAAAGUAAAUUCUUUAUUUUACAAUAAGAAAGUGAUUACAUAUUUUAUUUUUUUUUACAAUGGUGGAAAAUUAGAAGUGAUUGUGAAAAUGAUGUCUACCCGCCUUGCUGAUGAGUAGGAUGUGAUUUGGCUCUUUAGGAAACUGAAUUUGCAGAACUUAAGAAUAUUGAUUUAUAAAGGGCAUGGCCAUUGACCCAGUCCAUCUUAUGCAAAUCUGGAUGCCAUAAAUAAUAUUUAAAAAUGAAAGUAUUGGGGUGGAGGUUGCAGUGAGCGGAGAUCGCCCCACUACACUCCAGCCUGGUCAACAGAGUGAGACUCUGUCUCAAAACAAAAAAAAAAAAAAAAAAAGAAGAAGUCAUUCCCAACAUUGCUCAUCAAAUUAUGACCAUAAAUUUCCAGGAUCAGACUAACGGCUAAAGAGACUGAUGCAUCAACACCAGGCAGAGAAUAAAGCAGAUUUUUUUUGUUUUGUUUUGGAGAGCCUCUAGGAACUUGAAAAAUACAUAUGCCACACUCUUAAGACCCGGUGGUUCUUAAUCAGGGAUGUUCAUUAAAAUGCUGGAAAACUCUAAAGAUUUCCAGGUCCCAUCCAAGGAGAUUUUGCUUCUGAUUGACUGGCUAGUGGCCUGGCCAUUGGUAUUUUGAAAAAUCCCUCCAAGUGAUUCUUUUACAUCCCAGCUAGAAAACCCUAAAUUAAAGGUGAAAAACCAGACACCAAGUGGCAUUUAAAUAAAUGUCAACUUUAACUCCACAAAGCAUCUGGUUGCAUGUGGACAGAAAGAGAAGGAAAGAGGGCCCUAUAUCUGGAUAACUUGGAAAUGUGCUCCCCCUAGCAAGAUAUCUACCAAAAUUAAAACCAUAUUUGAGGAUGCUGGCACUGUGAGCAAUAUAUAAAUGAUGCAUGUAACAUCAUUUAAUAUGAUCUUAUUUUUAAAAAUGAGUAGAGUGGUGUUUUCUAGCUGUUAGUGUUUCCAAAUAUCAAUGUAGAAAUUAGCCUUCUGCAGCUGCAGAGGCAAUUCAGUUUGCAGCUUGCUUGCAUGUGGCCUAGAGCCACCCAGCCUGAUAUGUACUAAUUUUUUAUGUUUAACUUGCCAGAGUAGAAACUCAGUUUCUGGGCGAGGCAUAGUGGCUCAUGCCUGUAAUCCCAGAACUUUGGGAGGCCAAGGCAAGCAGAUCACAAGGUCGGGAGUUCAAGACCAGCCUGGCUGACAUAGUGAAACCCUAUCUUUGCUAAAAAUACAAAAAUUAGCCCGGCAUGGUGGCAGGCACCUGUAGUCCCAGCUACUUGGGAGGCUGAGGCAGGAGAAUCACUUGAACCUGGGAGGCAGAGGUUGUGGUGAACUGAGAUCAUGCCCCUGCACUCCAGCCUGGGCAACAGAGUGAGACUCCAUCUCAAAAAAAAAAAAAAAGAAACUCAGUUUCUGGUUACAUCUGAUCUUUAUUUUUUAUAUAUCAUCUAAGCUAUAAAGUUAUAUUCCCUAUUUGUGAUCUUAAAAGAAGGACUCCAGGAAAGUGUUCAAAUAUUCAUAUAUCUAAACUGGAACAUAUGUUUAUAUUUUUAAAAGUAGCCUGAGAGGUUGGCAACUAAAGUCAUAUGUUGAAUGAUCAUUUCUCAAGAGUUUCAUUUUAUGGUCUUUCUCUUGUUCUGUAAAAUGUGGGCAUGGAUAGAUAUAAAGUGCCUGGUGUCCAUGCUUUUGUGAAAUCCCUUCCUCUUCCAUGUGAAUGGGACCUGUGACUUUCUUCUAACCCAGAGAACACAGCAAAAAUGAUGUGAUUUAUCUGAGUCCAUUGAUGACAUUGAUUACGACUUCCCUUCACCACAUUAUUUAGGACUGCGUCGUAGGAGACUGGGACACAUAUCCACUUUGCUGGCUUGAUGAAGUAAACUGCUAAGUUGAGGAAGCCCACAUGGCAAGGAACUGUGGGCAGCCUUCAGCCAACAGGCAGCAAAAAGCUGAGCUCCUCGGAGCUACAGCCUCAAGGAAGUUACUUCUGCUAACAACCUGAAAAAGCUUGGAAGCUAGUUUCUCUCUAGUGGAAUUUUUAGGGAAGAGCAUGGCCCAGGCAAGAUAAAUAAUGUAAGUGGAAAAACCUGUCAACAAUAAAGGUUUUAAAGG